UGUUUGCGUUAGGGAUUGCAGUGGAAAUCCUUUUUAAACUAAAAAGCGAAAAGUUUGUAAGAACUAAAAUCUGGCAGAUUGCCACGUUCUUUGAACUCGCAAUGACCUUUUAAAAAGAUUGCAACGGAAAGCCCGACCCGAU
rnacentral:sRNA from 1 species